rnacentral:lncRNA from 1 species
GGGGGGCACUCUUUAACCACUGCAAUGAGGAAAUAGGUUUAGGUUUGUAAAUAACUUCCCAAGGUUAGGGAGUACCAGUGGUAAAAUUUGAACCUAGAUCAGUUUGCCUCCAGAUCCAUGCUGGUUCUUAUUAGAACAUGACCACUGUCCACACACAGCCUGUAUGUGCAGCACGACCAUCUUUGAGAAUACAGAGUCUUCAACAGGGGGAUGACUGUCUUUAUUUUUUCUCUGUAUAAAAGAUUUACAUUGUUGUGGCACAAACCAAACAGUGAUUUAUAUCUCAUAAUGAAUGUAGUUGAAUUCAUGGUCUUUUGCUAACUCUGAUAGCUCCAUGAACUCCUUUAGGAUUUGGAUAUAGAAUACACCAAUUUGGAGAAAGGAUGCACCAAUUUGAAAAGUUCAGUUAAAAACAAACUAAACUUAUUACAACAAACCUAGAUUGGAUUGUAUAAUGUUUUUCCUUUUCUUUUAAAUUUAGAGUGGGGUAAUAGAAUACCUAAUAGCUAGUCGGUAGUUGCUUAAGUGGUGUUGUUUGGAUAUAGUCCAGCACACCAUCCGGAGAGCUCCAUCUUGCAGUGGCCUGUCCCAUGUGCCAUCCACCUUUACAUUGAAGGCUCAGUGUGAAGAAAUUCUGUGGGCCUGCCACCGUCUGCUGUGUGCACUGGGCAGGUAAUUU